GGCUACCCACUCCAGUAUUCUUGCCUGGAGAAUCCCAUGGACAGAGGAGCCUGGCAGGCUACAGUCCAUGGGGUAGAGAAAAGUUGGAUAUGGCUGAGCAACCAACACUAACUAAGCAAAAAGAUAUAGGGAAUGGGCAAUUUCUUUUUUCUGACAGGUAAUAUGUUUUGAAUAUUUGCUGUGUCCAGGUGCCAUUGACUUGUUUUCACAUCUUGUCCUCCUUAAGGUAAAGUUCCACCACCCUGGCUGGUCGCUGGCAUUUGUCCCAUUUAACAGAUAAGGACAUGGAGGCUUAGAGAGACUAACUCAUCUGCCCCAGGUCACACCACACCUUCAACACUUGGGCUCCACCUAGUGCUGACCGACUGCAAAGCUCCUGUGUUGCAUCGUCUACAUCAUUCCUCAUCACAGGGCAGAGACUCACAACGCUGCUGUGCAGACAGACUGUUUAGGAGACAAAGGACAACAGAACUGGGUUUUCUGUUAGCAUGGAUAUUGGCAGGCUUAAGAAAUUCAGAUAUGUGAAAGACACCUGGGAUUUCAUAGAAACUGAGAAUUUCAGGAUUCCCAGAUGACUCCGUGAACCAAGGGCCUCUAAAUGAAGCCAAAUACGUCAGGAAAAGUUGUGAUGGGAUCAAGGGGUAUGAGAAAGAGAAGAAAAAUCUAAGGCAUAAAUAUUAUGUUGAAUAUGACCCAUUGCUUGAUGGAAGCAAAAGGACUGAUUGGAGUCACCUAGGAGUUCCUACGUUGCUAGGGUCUUUGGAGGAGUAAAGCUCCAUCUUUCCCUUGGGAUUUUUGAAAGCCAGGAUGAUUUAACAUCUCUUACCAGCAGAAGAAUGCAUAACCUGACUGAUGUAAACUCAGAAAGGACAUCUUUGUUUUAGACACUUGCUCAUUGACUGUAUAAGACAACACAUGGAUGGUGCUCACAGUUAAUUUCAGGGCACAGAUGUAGGAAACACAGAGGAACACAAGGACUGCUGGAGGGUCUGGUGCCAGUGAUUCAUCAUCAGACAUGUUACAGAGCUGAAUCUCAGUGCAAAACAAUGGCUGCCUUUAACAGACGAGGGUGCACUCCAGGACAGGAAGAACAGAUGGAAAAGAAAAGAAGAGAAUCAAUCUGCUAACGUAAGAUGUUCCGUGUAGCCAAUGUUUCAUCCCAAAGAUCCUGAACGUAUAGAAAAAGUCAAGGCGGAGGCAUACCUGGACAAUUGGUUUACUUGUUCAACCCAUGUUCUCUUUGUCCUCUGAUUUCCGGACCUAGCUUUCUAAUAAUCAUAACAUUCACAUUUUCAUACUCACAGCUAUCCUUUUAAAUACCCUCCAUGUUUAUUAAGCUAGUUCUUUCCUCUUUAUUCUUUUUGUCAUGCGAGUGUAUGUUCCUCGGUUCUUUGUCUCAUCACAACAAAGAUUUGGAGUGACGGACAUUAAAGCCCCCUCGGCAUGUCACAGCUCUCGGAUCUUGGAC